AUUGAACGCUGGCGGCAGGCCUAACACAUGCAAGUCGAAUGGUAACAGGAAACAGCUUGCUGUUUCGCUGACGAGUGGCGGACGGGUGAGUAAUGUCUGGGAAACUGCCUGAUGGCGGGGGAUAACUACUGGAAACGGUAGCUAAUACCGCAUAACGUCGCAAGACCAAAGAGGGGGACCUUCGGGCCUCUUGCCCUCAGAUGUGCCCCGAUGGGAUUAGCUAGUAGGUGGGGUAACGGCUCACCUAGGCGCCGAUCCCUAGCUGGUCUGAGAGGAUGACCAGCCACACUGGAACUGAGACACGGUCCAGACUCCUACGGGAGGCAGCAGUGGGGAAUAUUGCACAAUGGGCGCAAGCCUGAUGCAGCCAUGCCGCGUGGAUGAAGAAGGCCUUCGGGUUGUAAAGUACUUUCGGAGGGGAGGAAGGGAGUAAAGUUAAUACCUUUGCUAAUUGACGUUACACGCAGAAGAAGCACCGGCUAACUCCGUG
rnacentral:rRNA from 1 species